AAGCGGUGGAGCAUGUGGCUUAAUUCGAGGCUACGCGAAGAACCUUAUCCUAGGCUUGACAUGUCCGAAAGGGGCCGGAGGUAGGACCCGGAAACGGGGACGAACGGUAUCCAACCCGGAACCGGCCACAGGUGCUGCAUGGCUGUCGUCAGCUCGUGUCGUGAGAUGUCGGGUUAAGUCCCAUAACGAGCGAAACCCUUACCCCCAGUUGCCAGCGGGUCAGGCCGGGGACUCUGGGGGGACUGCCGGUGUCAAACCGGAGGAAGGUGGGGAUG
rnacentral:rRNA from 1 species